AGGACGAACGCUGGCGGCGCGCUUAACACAUGCAAGUCGAGCGAGAACCGGUCCUUCGGGACUGGGGAAAGCGGCGAACGGGUGAGUAACACGUGGGUAAUCAACCCUUGGUACCGGGAUAGCCCGAGGAAACUCGGAUUAAUACCGGAUGGCCCAACAGCUCUUCGGGGCGGUUGGAAAAGGUAGCUUCGGCCUCCGACCAAGGACGAGCCCGCGGCGGAUUAGCUUGUUGGUGAGGUAACGGCUCACCAAGGCGACGAUCCGUAGCUGGUCUGAGAGGACGAUCAGCCACACUGGGACUGAGACACGGCCCAGACUCCUACGGGAGGCAGCAGUGGGGAAUCUUGCACAAUGGGCGAAAGCCUGAUGCAGCGACGCCGCGUGAGGGAAGAAGGCUUUCGGGUUGUAAACCUCUUUCAGGAGGGACGAAGCUACUCGGGUUAAUAGCCCAGAGGGUGACGGUACCUUCAGAAGAACGCCCGGCUAACUACGUGCCAGCAGCCGCGGUAA
rnacentral:rRNA from 1 species